rnacentral:lncRNA from 1 species
CCUGACCAUUCAUCUUGGGAGCACUAUUUGAUAGCAUGGAGAAACUAUCCCCUUUCCUCCCUUCCCCACCAUUUCCCAGUACAUUUUGGAUUGAGUGCAUCCCAGAAGUGAAGCUCUUCUUUCUGUGUGAUGAUAAUGGGCAUGAUCAGAAUGUAUUUCCUUCUGACUGAAAGCCAGAAGAGUUUUGCUUCAGUGGAAUUCACUGUCUUUAGGAGAAAAGAUGUGAUCAGAAUAGGAAUGCUGAAUUCAGGAUACCUUUUCUGCUGGACCAGUGAUAAAAUUCCAAUGAUCAUUGGCAGAAGGCUCAGCACUUCUUGUGGCACACAUGGUGAGAUGGAUGGAUGCUGUUACUGGAAUGCAUCUUCAAAAUUUCUAAAGAUCUGUGAUUUCAACCAUUUGGUAAUUCCCUCUAUAUGCAGAUUGACUCUCUUUCAUGCCCUCAAUAUUUUUUUUCUUUCAUGAGUUCCCUUGGUCAGAGAAUUCAUCAUCUGGUGGCCAAACUUUUGGUGACGAGCCUCUCUCGGUUUUGGAAACUGGUCUUCUUACACUUUUUUUUUUUUUGUUGGACCUGUGGUUAUUAACUUUCUAGCUUAGGUAGUAUCUGUUGGAAAUAGUCUCCUGCCAUAGCCUUUAAGAUUUGAGAGUUUUCUGCCACUUGUAAGGGACCCAAAAUAAAUAUCAUCUGGUCCAACUUUUGGGCA